GAAUUAAUUAUUACUUGAUGAUGUGUGGUUGCUAGGUGUUAUGCUCGUCUGCAUCCAAGAGCCGUGAACUGCCGCAAGAAGAAGUGUGGUCACAGCAAUCAGUUGAGUCCCAAGAAGAAGAUCAAGUAGACUGAGUAGGGUUAUCCUGUCUGCUUUAAAGCAAUUUGAAUGCCAGACUUGGAAAAUUUUCCAUUUACUUCUUUGCUAUUAUUCUAUUUGUGUGGAUUCUGGAUUUGACAACUGAUAAAGAAUUUGAGUUAAAUUGAU